rnacentral:lncRNA from 1 species
AGAUCGUUAAGGCCCUGUUUGGGAGAAAUUAAAAAAGGGUUCGGAGAAUAGAGUAAGAACAAGCUAAAAAUGGUGGCAGUGGCUAGAAACAUCACCAAGAAAGGAGCCAAUCUGCUCAUGUUAUUAUUAUGGCCUCUCUCCCUAUUGGGGUAGUUGUGGGAUUUUUCUGGGAAAAAAGUACAAAAACUCAUGAUUGUCUGAAACAUA